rnacentral:rRNA from 1 species
CCUACGGGUGGCAGCAGUGAGGAAUAUUGGUCAAUGGUCGCGAGCCUGAACCAGCCAAGUAGCGUGAAGGAUGACUGUCCAACGUGUCGUAAACCUCUUUUAUAAAGGAACAAAGUGUGGCACGCGUGCCCUUAUGAGUGUACCUUAUGAAAAAGCAUCGGCUAACUCCGUGCCAGCAGCCGCGGUAAUACGGAGGAUUCGAGCGUUAUCCGGAUUUAUUGGGUUUAAAGGGUGCGUAGAUGGGCUGUUAAGUCAGCUGUCAAAGCAUGCGGCUCAACCGUAAAAUUGCAAUUGAUACUGGCAGCCGUGAGUACGGUUGAGGUAGGCGGAAUUCGUGGUGUAGCGGUGAAAUGCUUAGAGAUCGCGAAGAACUCCGAUUGCGAAGGCAGCCUGCUAAACUGCCACUGACAUUGAUGCUCGAAAGUGUGGGUAUCAAACAGGAUUAGAUACCCGUGUAGUC